ensembl:lncRNA PPP1R15B-AS1 PPP1R15B and PIK3C2B antisense RNA 1
CGCGCUGGCCUCAAGCCGGGCGGCAGGGAGCAGGCAAGCGCUUAACCCUGGCCGGCCGGGAGCCCCAGACACCACCUGCCUCCUCGUCGACUCGGGAGCUCCUCUUCGGACCGUUUCCUGAACUUUAAUGACGGGCAAUUAGCGCGAAAGAAAAACUACAUGGAAUGAGGAAAUAGACCACUCCUGCCUUCAAAAUCCUCUUCGUGAGGUUUAUAGAAUUCCUAAGAACUCAGGAAAGACAUCAGCAGAGAGCAAUGAUCGUCAUAGCCAGAUGCACUGUCACCUCCAUUCAUACAGCACUGACUUUGCCCUUUCAGUCCCAUGGGGUUUACAGAUCUGUUCUCCUAACAGCUUCUUGCCUAUUUCACAAUGCCUAUUGCAAAACUAGCUCCACACAGAAUGCACCCACCCAGCUACUUGUCGAAUUACAACCUGAUGAUGGAUCCACCAGAAACUAAGAAUGGAAAGGUUAUAAAGAAAUCACAG